GUUGGGAACAAUAUAUUUUUUUUUUUUUCAAUCUGUUUAUACUAAUUAAAUGGGCGGGAAAUAAAAAAUCUUAGAAAUACGUGUUGGCGCUACUGGGAUCCCAUGUCUUACUUACUCACAGAAAAUAGAAAACACAGGAUUCAAUGCAAUCCAAGAUAAGUUCCUUCUUCAAGCCAUCUUCAUCGUCUUCUUCUUCAAAAUUUGAAGAUUAGAUAAUGGGAUACAUC
rnacentral:misc_RNA from 1 species